rnacentral:rRNA from 1 species
GGUUGAUCCUGCCAGUAUCAUAUGCUUGUCUCAAAGAUUAAGCCAUGCAUGUCUAAGUAUAAGCAUCCUUAUACUGUGAAACUGCAGAUGGCUCAUUAAAUCAGUUAUAAUUUAUUUGAUGAUUACUUACUACAUGGAUAACCGUAGUAAUUCUAGAGCUAAUACAUGCGUAAAUCCGCGACUCGUAAGGGGAGUGGAGUAUUUAUUAGAUAAAAAACCAAUAGCCAGGGGCAACUCUGGCUUUGAUGACGAUUCAUAAUAACUGUUCGGACCGCAUGGCUUCAAGCCGGCGG